rnacentral:rRNA from 1 species
GAUGAACGCUGGCGGUAUGCUUAACACAUGCAAGUCGAACGGACUCUUCGGAGUUAGUGGCGGACGGGUGAGUAACGCGUGAGAAUCUGGCUUUGGGUUCGGGACAACCACUGGAAACGGUGGCUAGUACCGGGUGUGCCGAGAGGUAAAAGAGAAAUUGCCUGAAGAUGAGCUCGCGUCUGAUUAGCUAGUUGGUGAGGUAAAGGCUCACCAAGGCAGCGAUCAGUAGCUGGUCUGAGAGGAUGACCAGCCACACUGGGACUGAGACACGGCCCAGACUCCUACGGGAGGCAGCAGUGAGGAAUUUUCCGCGAUGGGCGAACGCCUGACGGAGCAAUACCGCGUGAGGGAAGAAGGCUCUUGGGUUGUAAACCUCUUUUCUUAGACAAGAACAAAAUGACGGUACCUAAGGAAUCAGCAUCGGCUAACUCCGUG